GUAGCAAGCCACUUGCAGAGAUAUCUUUUGUUAAGGGGUUAUUCAAGGGUCAUGUAAAGAUGCUAGAUGACUGAGAUGAAGAUGGACAGAAAGAAAAGUUGUGUUUGCAUCUUGUAAUGCUGCUGCUCUCUAUGUGUUGUGUGGGAAAUCUGUGGACACAUAGAGGUUUUUUUCUCUGAGGGACAACUUAUGCUAUAGAGAAAAAGCAGGAUGAUAGCACCUCAUUUGUCUGAUUACACGUGGUAAGUACAAGUAUUGUUUUACAUUUUUACCUUGAUUUUUUGUCUAGUGUUGCUGGUGUAUCUUUUA